GCGGAUCUUCAUUAGCUUGCUUUUGAAGAUCAGCGGCGGACGGGUGAGUAACACGUGGGCAACCUGCCUGUAAGACUGGGAUAACUUCGGGAAACCGGAGCUAAUACCGGAUAAUCCUUUCCCUCACAUGAGGGAAAGCUGAAAGACGGUUUCGGCUGUCACUUACAGAUGGGCCCGCGGCGCAUUAGCUAGUUGGUGAGGUAACGGCUCACCAAGGCAACGAUGCGUAGCCGACCUGAGAGGGUGAUCGGCCACACUGGGACUGAGACACGGCCCAGACUCCUACGGGAGGCAGCAGUAGGGAAUCUUCCGCAAUGGACGAAAGUCUGACGGAGCAACGCCGCGUGAACGAUGAAGGCUUUCGGGUCGUAAAGUUCUGUUGUCAGGGAAGAACAAGUACCGGAGUAACUGCCGGUACCUUGACGGUACCUGACCAGAAAGCCACGGCUAACUACGUGCCAGCAGCCGCGGUAAUACGUAGGUGGCAAGCGUUGUCCGGAAUUAUUGGGCGUAAAGCGCGCGCAGGCGGUUCCUUAAGUCUGAUGUGAAAGCCCCCGGCUCAACCGGGGAGGGUCAUUGGAAACUGGGGAACUUGAGUGCAGAAGAGGAGAGCGGAAUUCCACGUGUAGCGGUGAAAUGCGUAGAGAUGUGGAGGAACACCAGUGGCGAAGGCGGCUCUCUGGUCUGUAACUGACGCUGAGGCGCGAAAGCGUGGGGAGCGAACAGGAUUAGAUACCCUGGUAGUCCACGCCGUAAACGAUGAGUGCUAAGUGUUAGAGGGUUUCCGCCCUUUAGUGCUGCAGCAAACGCAUUAAGCACUCCGCCUGGGGAGUACGGCCGCAAGGCUGAAACUCAAAGGAAUUGACGGGGGCCCGCACAAGCGGUGGAGCAUGUGGUUUAAUUCGAAGCAACGCGAAGAACCUUACCAGGUCUUGACAUCCUCUGACAACCCUAGAGAUAGGGCGUUCCCCUUCGGGGGACAGAGUGACAGGUGGUGCAUGGUUGUCGUCAGCUCGUGUCGUGAGAUGUUGGGUUAAGUCCCGCAACGAGCGCAACCCUUGAUCUUAGUUGCCAGCAUUCAGUUGGGCACUCUAAGGUGACUGCCGGUGACAAACCGGAGGAAGGUGGGGGAUGACGUCAAAUCAUCAUGCCCCUUAUGACCUGGGCUACACACCUGGUUCCAAUGGAUGGGAACAAAGGGGCGCGAAACCCCGGAGGUCGAGCCAAUCCCCUAAAUCCAUUCUCCGGUCCGGAUUGGAAGGGUGCAAAU
rnacentral:rRNA from 2 species